rnacentral:misc_RNA from 1 species
GAUGAAGAACGCAGCGAAAUGCGAUAAGUAGUGUGAAUUGCAGAAUUCAGUGAAUCAUCGAAUCUUUGAACGCACAUUGCGCCCCUUGGUAUCCCGAGGGGCAUGCCUGUUCGAGCGUCAUUUCACCACUCAAGCCUGGCUUGGUGUUGGGCGACGUCCCCUUUGGGGACGCGCCUCGAAACGCUCGGCGGCGUGGCACCGGCUUUAAGCGUAGCAGAAUCUUUCGCUUUGGAAGUCGGGGCCCCGUCUGCCGGAAGACCUACUCGCAAGGUUGACCUCGGAUCAGGCAGGGAUACCCGCUGAGCUUAAGCAUAUCAAUAAGCGGAGGA